UUUAUGCAGGUACAUAUUUAUCAAAUUAAACCCAAGGAGCAAUGUAAAUGUGGUUGUUAUGGCCAAAGUAAUCAUUGAGCGUGCACUCUGAUGCUGUAUCUUGCUUCUUAAGGGAGUCUCACUGCAUAUGCAUAUCACAACAAUGUAAAUGUAUAUGUUUUUGCGCUUAUACAGUAAAUGUUAUAUACACAGUGUGUAGUACAUUGUUGCUGUUUGAAAAAAAAACAUUAGUGUCUUUAAACAAACUGAGAUUUAUAGUGAUAAGUUUCGUAAUGGCUAAACUAAAAUACGCCUGUAUUAUCACAGAAGAUGAUCCAAUAAAAAGGUACUGCAAACCAGUAGAUGUGAUCUACAAAUCAAAAAAGGAUAGGAAUCAUAUUUCCCCAUCUAAUCUACAAGACUUUGAUGAAAAGCAAGUCUAUCGAGUGUAUUGGAGGUCGUGUGGAAGCAACUAUAAAAUACAAGAUAAUUGUUGCACAUUUUAUAAAGCACAUAUAAUCAGUCUGGGAGAAUCUGAAGAAGAUGCCCGAAAAGCAGCUGAUAAAAGACAAAAAUGAUUCAGAUUAAAAAAAAACGUAUGGAGGUGGUGAAUCAACUGAAAGUACGGUUGAGGAGGAAGUAAAAUCAUCUCAAUCAAGUAAACUUUCGACAAAGAAAGGAAAUAUUAUUAACUCCAGUAAUGUUAUUCAAAAGUACAAAAAGAGCAUUUUGUUACAAACCAGAAAAGAGCUUUGUCUCGAUGAUGCAAAUGAUGGUGAUAAAUCUACAGAUGAAGGGGUAAUAAAAAAAGGCGCUUAUCAGAAAUGUGUGAAAAUAUUAGUUUUGGAGCAUCUGGUGAUUACACAAAGUUAGUAACAUUAAGGAGCCACGCGUUGUU